UAUCGACUUGAUAUUCUGCGUGCGACGAAGGGGGCACACGUGGAAGUUCAUUGACAAGGCUUCUUCACUACUGUCACAUCUAAAUGCGACAUCAUCUUGAAAUUGCCGACAGUUUUUCCCUUCAUGUAUAGCAGCACAUGUUAGGCAAUUGGUGUGUUUACAGACAGGACACAAAAAAGUGUUAACGUUAUCUUCAAAAAGACACCAUCCAGGACAAUCAGGAGUUUUACAAUGAAAACUGUCUAGAGCUUGGCUUUCUGCUAAUGCCAUACUUCUCUGCAAGUGUUUCUCAUAUACCUGAGAUGACUUUCGCAGGAAUAUUCAUCAUUGCGAAAAGGGCAUUUGAUAACUGCUGUUUCUGAAUACUGAAUAGCACUUGCAAGACAUUCCCUGAAACAAUAUUGAAAUUUCGUUUUAAAAUUAUCCAUGUUAUUGCACAAAAAUUUUAAUAAUUAAACAAUUUUUAACAUUUUUUAAAUGCAAUCCAUAGACAAAAUAAUUCAUCUGAAACUACUAAAUGACAUACUAUUAAAAGUAACUGGAAAAUAGCAGUCAACUUACAUCCUUCUUCAUAGAAACUAAACUAGCUUAUUCAGAAUUAAUGGGUUUUACAUGAAACAAUGAGAAGGUCUUAUGACUAUAUUCAGACAUCAUGCUUACCCAUUACUGGCACUGAAUCACACUGUUCGGUGACAAUUUUUGUUUGCUCUAAAGUCACAGACAUAUAUGUACUAAUAAUGACUUUUCAAGCCACUCAAUUGUUUAAUUUUUUGGGAAAAAGUUUCUAAUAUUUCAAAAUAUUCCAGUUGCUUGAGCUUUCCUGUUAGUUCAAUGUCAGAUGGUUGGGCUACAGUAAAUGUGGAUUAUUGGUACAUAAAUAAUUAAUUAAAAUGUACUCAUUCUCAAGCACUAUUUAAUAAAAAAGCUAAUGCUCUUAUAUGUUUUUAAAUGAAGUAUAAGGAAAAUUAUGCCAAUACAAUCUGCUGGAAAAUUGUAGCAGAGAGAAAGGACUAAAUGGCAGGAAAAUAUUUCAAGAAAAGAAAUAGAACUUUUGUAAAAAUACCAUGAAGAAUUUUAUAUAAAAAGAAUUUGUGCAUCUAUCAGUGAAAUUACUUUCAAAAUAAUGUUCAUGUUGCUAAAAUAGAGAUUAAAAAAUAUUUUUAAAAAAUAUUUCUAUUUUACUUCUUACAAAAAAAACCUUCAACAUUAUGGCUUUUCCCUAAAAUGAAUACCUUCAACAGCUAUCACUUUCUAUUGCAAUUGGAUUAGCAACAGUACUAGCAAUUAACAGAAGGUAACUAAAACUGAAAUCCUAGAUUUAUUAUAAGAAAAUUCUCCAUUCUUUAGAUCCUUCCUAUUUUCCCACUGUUUGGUCUACUUUCAUUAUCAAAUGAUUUUGUUACAGUCUACUUUCAUUACCAAAUGAUUUUGUUACAGUCUACUUUCAUUACCAAAUUAUUUUGCACUGUGCUUUGCUUCAAUCACCAUAAAUAUAACAAAACUGUAGAGACAUUUAC